UUGGCGGACGGGUGAGUAACGCGUGGAUAACCUGCCGUAUGCAGGGGGAUACCAACUGGAAACAGUUGCUAAUACCGCAUAAGCGCACAGUACCGCAUGGUAUAGUGUGAAAAGAUUUAUCGGCAUACGAUGGAUCCGCGUCCGAUUAGCCAGUUGGCGGGGUAGAAGCCCACCAAAGCGACGAUCGGUAGCCGGCCUGAGAGGGCGGACGGCCACAUUGGGACUGAGACACGGCCCAAACUCCUACGGGAGGCAGCAG
rnacentral:rRNA from 1 species